AACGAACGCUUGCGGCAGGCCUAACACAUGCAAGUUGAACGAUAGGCUGGCUUUUGUCAGCUGAAAGUAGCGAACGGGUGCGUAACACGUGGGAACAUACCUCUAGGAGGGGGACAGCUACGGGAAACUGUAGUUAAUACCGCAUGACCUCUACGGAGCAAAGAUUUUUUCGCCUAGAGAUUGGCCCGCGCUCGAUUAGAUAGUUGGUGGGGUAAUAGCCUACCAAGUCUGCGAUCGAUAGCUGGUUUGAGAGAAUGAUCGGCCACACUGGGACUGAGAUACGGCCCAGACUCCUACGGGAGGCAGCAGUGAGGAAUAUUGGACAAUGGGCGAAAGCCUGAUCCAGCAAUACCGCGUGAGUGAUGAAGGCUUUAGGGUUGUAAAACUCUUUCAGUAGGGAUGAUAAUGACGGUACCUACAGAAGAAGCACCGGCUAACUCCGUGCCAGCAGCCGCGGUAAU
rnacentral:rRNA from 1 species